rnacentral:lncRNA from 1 species
AUAGAUAUCCACUCGAGAUCAAUCUGAAACAGCCCUCAUGGUGUUGAUCUUUCUUCUUCAAGAACAAUCACUCUACGAAUCUAAAUGAUGUUUGGAUCACGAUCAACUCUUUGAUCCUUUUCUUGAUUCUUUUUUUUUAUUUUUUUUUUAAUUUUCUUCUCUUAAUUUUGUAGCAAUCAAGCUCUAAAAAUUAGUAACCAAGAGGUGCUACUCAAGCUUCC